rnacentral:rRNA from 1 species
UACGUAGGGGGCAAGCGUUGUCCGGAUUUAUUGGGCGUAAAGAGCGUGUAGGCGGCCACACAGGUCAGCUGUGAAAACUCGAGGCUCAACCUCGAGACGUCGGUUGAAACCGUAUGGCUAGAGUCCGGAAGAGGAGAGUGGAAUUCCCGGUGUAGCGGUGAAAUGCGCAGAUAUCGGGAGGAACACCGGUGGCGAAGGCGGUUCUCUGGGCAGUAACUGACGCUGAGGAGCGAAAGCGUGGGGAGCGAACAGG